GGGGCCGUAGCACAGUGGUAGCGCGCGUCAUUUGCAGUCAGUUUACCGACUUUGAAUGAAUCUUGACGAGGUCUUGGGUUCGAUCCCCAACUGCUCCA